AUUCUGAUAAGAAUUUUGGUUUGUGUAUACCAUUUUUUUUAAUCCAACAUGCAAACGAUUUGCUUUAUUCCAGUAGUUGAAAGUAUAUUUAAAAUGUAAAUCAACUCACCAAUUACGCUCCAAUUUUUUUGGGGCGGCUGUACUGUAGUUUACUUUUUCCACCCCUCCUCUUCCUCCUCCCACUAAAAACAAACAAGAUGGCAGCAACCGUUUUUGGUUCUGGGCCGGGCUCAAUGUGGGCGGAGUCAUACUUCGGGGCCGGGCUCAAAGUGGAUGGAAUCAAACGGCGGGGCCGGGCUCAAUGUGGCAGAGUCAUACUUCGGGGUCAGGCUCAAAAUACUUUGGGGCCGGGCUCAAAGUGGGUGGAGUCAAACGCGUUAACCCGAACCCUUCCCGUCUCCUUCAAGGUCACCCAAGUUCUUAAUCGAACCUGACCUACAUGGAUAAAAAUAUAAACCAUAGAAGUGAGACUGUCAUUAUGCAUAAUGUACUUUGUAAUAUUCAUGUUAUACCAGUGCAGUGGUACAUUUUUAUAUGACCAACUACCACACCGAUGUUAGCAUCGGUUAAUUAGUGCCCAUUUGCACUUGAGGUAGCUAAUUGCUCUCAAUGAGGGAAUCUUAUUUGGACAAAUUUGCCUACUUGAGCAGUAAGCCUAGGUUUGUAGUUAUGUAAUUGAUUUGAUCGUUGAUUUUCUGUGUUUCUUCAAUGUAUGGCUUGUUGUGUUUGGCUGGCUCUAAAUGUGUAUUGUUGAUGCCAUUCCCUUAGUUACACAUAGCGAGUCUACACAAAGUGUAAAUACAAUAAUGAAAUCACCUGGUCCCAACAUGCAUGGCAAGUCAAGAAAAGUCAUUGUAACUUGUCCACACUGCAAACUGAAGUUAAAUAAGAAAAACUUCAAAACACAUUUACGAAGAAAGCAUACACAUUGCUUUGAAACAGUGUCCAAUGCAAGAUUUUUGUCAGAAACAUUGCUCAGAUCUUGUCCUGUGGACCUUGGAGGACUUUUGUUGUGGAUGAUGUUCAGGAAAACAUGCAGCAAAUUAGGCCAUGGUGGCGCCUAGUUCUCCUGCAGAACUUUCCCAUGCCGUAAGUCUUGAACAUUAUAAAAACGUUUCAUUUGCAUCCUUAAUCACUUGUUUCACUGUAGCCAGACUGACCUGAAUAUAUUUUCAUAUUUAAUGCAUGUCAUUCACUCACUAAUGUCUGAAGAAGAGAGGUUGAAAGAUCGAAAAAGGUGGCGAAAACAAAACCCACUACAGGAUGAUGUAGAAGACGUCCUCCACACCAAGAAGUCACAGCAUGUCACAUCAGCAUCCAGCUCUGCAGGAUCAGAUGAUACUGAAAACAAAAUGCACGGCGAGCUGUGAACUGGGAAGCAGAUGUUCUUCUAAGGGACACCUUGGAGGCAGCAAGGUGGUGCGAACGCCAAACAUUUAAAGGCACUGUUUCCCUCCCUAGUGUAAUUGGGAUGGACGGGGAAUACCCCAUUACAACCCUUAAAGAACUACGGUGGUAUGAUGGCCUGGAUGAAGAGGAAAAUAUUCUCAAGGAACCAUUCAUGUUACAGAGAAAUUAAGAUGUUCUAUGUGGAGGAAGUUGACAACAAGAAAAUGACUGCCUUUGCCUCUUUUGAGGAGCAGGAGUGAAGCCAUUUUUGAGGAGUGGUCAAACCUUGUUUUUG
rnacentral:lncRNA from 1 species